ACCUGUCGUGAGCACUGAGCGCGGUGUUCACGGCAACAGACAGAGACUGUGCCCCGGGAAGAUCUGGGCACUUCAGGGCGUU
rnacentral:sRNA from 17 species